AUGUGCACUGUCAAGUAUAAGGAAAUAGGCAAGCACUGCCGGACGUCACUUCAAAUGGGUAAAAAUUCAACUUUUAUUUCAAGGACAACUUGGUUUUAAUGAUUUUGAAAUAAAAGUUGAAUUUUUACCCAUUUGAAGUGACGUCCGGCAGUGCUUGCCUAUUUCCUUAUACUUGACAGUGCACAU
rnacentral:pre_miRNA from 1 species